UUUACACUAAUCAUCAAUAUGUCUUGUGUAGGUAACAGCUCCUGGAGGGAGAACUAGAGAUAGAAAGAGCGACUUGCUUGUUAUAGCUGAUAAGGGGAACUCCUUCAAAAUAAUACAUGCGAGUGAAAAAGAUGAUCCAACAACUGUGAUAGAAAGACGGGAGUGGGCCCAAUCCAGAGAAGAAAUGGAGAGGCAUCUUAGAAAACUAAGAGACUUCAGCACUUCAAAUUGGUUUUGAUUGAUAAGUACGUACUCAAACACUUCCCAAUGAUUGUGCACAGCACGAUAAGUAGUUCGAUCUAACACGUCACACGUGUAUACAGGAAAUUAGACCCAACCUUCCAUUUUUGACAUUGUGUGCUAGUUGCUGGAUAUUGUGUAUAUUCUGUUGUAAUUUGUUAUUGGUAGAGACAUGGCUAUUGAAGUCCAAUUAUCUAUAAUAGUGACCUACAGUUGAAUAGCCACUGCUUGGAUAUAUAACCGUGAAUAUUGAGUCAUGGCAUGACCAUAACUUUUUGAGUACAGAACUUAAUAUUUUUGUAUUUUCA